UGGGGAAUAUUGCACAAUGGGCGCAAGCCUGAUCCAGCCAUGCCGCGUGUGUGAAGAAGGUCUUCGGAUUGUAAAGCACUUUAAGUUGGGAGGAAGGGCAUUAACCUAAUACGUUAGUGUUUUGACGUUACCGACAGAAUAAGCACCGGCUAACUCUGUGCCAGCAGCCGCGGUAAUACAGAGGGGGCAAGCGUUAAUCGGAAUUACUGGGCGUAAAGCGCGCGUAGGUGGUUUGUUAAGUUGGAUGUGAAAUCCCCGGGCUCAACCUGGGAACUGCAUUCAAAACUGACUGACUAGAGUAUGGUAGAGGGUGGUGGAAUUUCCUGUGUAGCGGUGAAAUGCGUAGAUAUAGGAAGGAACACCAGUGGCGAAGGCGACCACCUGGACUAAUACUGACACUGAGGUGCGAAAGCGUGGGGAGCAAACA
rnacentral:rRNA from 1 species